GAUGAAGAACGUAGCGAAAUGCGAUAAGUAAUGCGAAUUGCAGAAUUCAGUGAGUCAUCGAAUCUUUGAACGCACAUUGCGCCCUGUGGUAUUCCGCAGGGCAUGCCUGUUCGAGCGUCAUUUCAACCCUCAAGCUCUGCUUGGUGUUGGGCCCUGCCCGCUGCGGCCGGCCCUAAAGACAGUGGCGGUGCCGCCUGGCCCUGAGCGUAGUACAUCUCUCGCUCCAGUGCCCGGUGGUAGCCUGCCAGAACCCCAACUCUCAUGGUUGACCUCGGAUCAGGUAGGGAUACCCGCUGAACUUAAGCAUAUCAAUAAGCGGAGGA
rnacentral:misc_RNA from 1 species